CCUACGGGAGGCUGCAGUGAGGAAUAUUGGUCAAUGGGCUUACGCCUGAACCAGCCAAGUCGCGUGAGGGAAGACUGCCCUAUGGGUUGUAAACCUCUUUUGUCAGGGAGCAACGCCGGCUACGUGUAGCCUGCCUGAGAGUACCUGAAGAAAAAGCAUCGGCUAACUCCUUGCCAGCAGCCGCGGUAAUACGGAGGAUGCGAGCGUUAGCCGGUUUUAUUGGGUUUAAAGGGUGCGUAGGCGGAAUGCCAAGUCAGCGGUAAAAUCGCGGGGCUCAACCUCGCGCCGCCGUUGAAACUGGCGUUCUUGAGGGGGCGAGAAGUAUGCGGAAUGCGUGGUGUAGCGGUGAAAUGCAUAGAUAUCACGCAGAACUCCAAUUGCGAAGGCAGCAGACCGGCGCCCAACUGACGCUGAAGCACGAAAGCGUGGGUAUCGAACAGGAUUAGAUACCCUGUAGUC
rnacentral:rRNA from 1 species